ensembl:lncRNA
GGCGACUCCUACAUCCGAAUCAUGAUGCCACAGGACUCUAAUGGGGGUUAGAAAGGGCCGGGCCUUAAUGCGGGAACCGGACACAUGUGCAAGUUCACUUUCCUUUCGCCCCGGCGGGCGCGUCUGGUCACUCUCUGCUUUGGACAGAUUUACAGCCACUUGAGAUCUGUCGGACAAACCAGACCGGCUAAUCUAAUACGGGGCGUGUUUGAAACGAUGACUGUCCGUCUAAAAAAGACAAAAAGAAGAUUGCUUCGGCUGAUGUGGAACUUUCUGUUUAUGGCUGCAAUCUCGAAUCCAUCGGCCUGAAAAAAAAGGUCUAGGAGCCCCGUUUCCCAGACACAGCGAUGCUUCAGCAUGCGGGCUCAUCCCUGCACGCUCGCUCACUCGGCGCUAUAAUUGGUCGGAGGUCUAUCUAAUUGCAUCCGGAGGUACUUCCUGAGGCCGCGGGGCACUGCAGAUGUUGUCCAAAAAGGACCAUUUAAGGACCAUUUUCAACUGUGAAUUCCUUUGUUCAACGCUUUAUGGGAAACGUUUUACAGCGGCAGGGCAGUUUUAAAUAUGUUCGUCAUGGUGAGGAAGGAACAACCCGGUGCAGCGGUUUCUAGCCAAUGUAGCAUUUAGCUACACGACUGCUCUCUGCCGACAUUCACCUCAGAAUGAACCUAAAUAUGUAAAUAAAUAAUCCUGUGACAUUGUCAUCAGUCCCAGCUGUGCUUUGUGUGUUCAUC